CGGGUAAACAAAGAGAGGCAAGACCGCGAGGUGGAGCAAAUCUCAAAAAGCCGUCCCAGUUCGGAUCGCAGGCUGCAACCCGCCUGCGUGAAGUUGGAAUCGCUAGUAAUCGCGGAUCAGCAUGCCGCGGUGAAUACGUUCACGGGCCUUGUACACACCGCCCGUCACACCAUGAGAGUCGGGAACACCCGAAGUCCGUAGCCUAACCGCAAGGGGGGCGCGGCCGAAGGUGGCUUCGAUAAUUGGGGUGAAGUCGUAACAAGGUAUC
rnacentral:rRNA from 1 species